UAAAGAAUAAAAGUCGUAACAAGGUCUCCGUUGGUGAACCAGCGAGGAUCAUUA
rnacentral:rRNA from 1 species